rnacentral:rRNA from 1 species
AUUGAACGCUGGCGGCAGGCUUAACACAUGCAAGUCGAACGAGUGGCGGACGGGUGAGUAAUGCUUGGGAAUCUGGCUUAUGGAGGGGGAUAACUACUGGAAACUGUCGCUAAUACCGCGUACCAUAAGAUGAGCCCAAAUGGGAUUAGGUAGUUGGUGGGGUAAUGGCCUACCAAGGCGACGAUGUCUAGCUGGUCUGAGAGGAUGACCAGACACACCGGGACUGAGACACGGCUCGGACUCCUACGGGAGGCAGCAGUGGGGAAUAUUGCGCAAUGGGGGCAAGCUGAUGCAGCCAUGCCGCGUGAAUGAAGAAGGCCUUCGGGUUGUAAAGUUCUUUCGGUGACGAGGCGUUAAUCACAGAAGAAGCACCGGCUAACUCCGUGCCAGCAGCCGCGGUAAUUC